UACAGAGGUCCCAAGCGUUGUUCGGAUUCACUGGGCGUAAAGGGUGCGCAGGCGGCGCGGUAAGUCGGGUGUGAAAUCUUGGAGCUUAACUCCGAAACUGCAUUCGAUACUGCCGUGCUUGAGGACUGGAGAGGAGACUGGAAUUUACGGUGUAGCGGUGAAAUGCGUAGAUAUCGUAAGGAAGACCAGUGGCGAAGGCGGGUCUCUGGACAGUUCCUGACGCUGAGGCACGAAGGCCAGGGGAGCAAACGGG
rnacentral:rRNA from 1 species